rnacentral:rRNA from 1 species
GAUGAACGCUGGCGGCAGGCCUAAUACAUGCAAGUCGAACGCGGGGUAGCAAUACCUCGAGUGGCGCACGGGUGCGUAACGCGUAACCAACCUGCCCUUGACUGGGGGAUAGCCCGCCGAAAGGCGGAUUAAUACCGCAUAAACCAGCAGCCUGGCAUCAGGCAACUGGUAAAGAUUUAUUGGUCAAGGAUGGGGUUGCGUGACAUUAGCUAGUUGGCGGGGUAACGGCCCACCAAGGCGACGAUGUCUAGGGGACCUGAGAGGGUGAUCCCCCACACUGGCACUGAGAUACGGGCCAGACUCCGACGGGAGGCAGCAGGAGGGAAUAUUGGGCAAUGGGCGAGAGCCUGACCCAGCCAUGCCGCGUGCCGGAUGAAGGCCUUCUGGGUUGUAAACGGCUUUUCUCAGGGAAGAAAACGACCAUGCGUGGUACACUGACGGUACCUGAGGAAGAAGCCCCGGCUAACUUCGUGCCAGCCGCCGCGGUAACAC